UCGCUGUAUUUUAACCCACAAUGGCCGAAGGAGAAGACGUUGAUCUGGUUGCAGAACUACUUUCCACACAAUUUUCAAGACGGGUCUUCCACGAAGAGCUGGAUCUUGUGCGAAGAGGUCGCCCAACUCCUGCGCUAGCUAGCCUGUCCCAGCAAGGAAAAGGGUUUGUCCGUCAUUUUCAGACGAACAAUUAUGAACGGUACCCGUGGCUCACAGCCUCUGAGAAACGCUGCAAAUUGUACUGCUGAGAAUGCCUAUUGCUUGCAACUGACCGAUUUGGUGUUAUGAGCCACACUGGAUUUAACCAUUUAAAUUGUUUUACCAAGGCAGCAAGGAAACAUCAGAGCACGACUGGGCAGUUACAAGCUACGGUGCGUUUAAUUAAAAACGUUUGGGGACACUCGCGUAGAUCUGCAGCUCAGUGAACGGACACGCCGGGAGAAGGAGCUCAACAACGAAAAAGUAAAAUAAAUUAAAAAAAUAGGGAGAUUAAAAUUAUGCCAGAAACACGACCGGACAAAAACGGCUUUUAGCAUUAGCUUCCAUGUCGAUUGAAAAGGACUUGCUGAUGGACCUGAAACGAACAGAAAAACUACAACAGAGCCACUGAAGUGUUCCUGAGAAAAAGGAGGAUCGAUUUUAUUUUCAAAUAAGCUGACGCUGUGGAAAACUACAUUGAAUGCUGAGUGAAAAACCUCGAGGAACUCUCGCUCACCUUGCAGAACAAAAACAUUUGGAGAUCUUUUUCAGCGUAAAAUCACAGAAGCUAAUCGAGUCCCUGGCCCAGACAAAUAACUCUUGCGUGACUAAUUGCCAGUUGAGGCUGCUGAACCUGUGCCCGAUAAUGCUGAACACUGCUGAGAAAGAAACCCAAAAAAAAGUGACUCACG